UGAGCUGAUGGCUGGCUGAGCUGGUUGCUGGUGUAACAAAGUGUGACGUCCACCCAGAUGUUGUAAGGGUGAUGACGAGCUAGUCCAGCAUCAAUUUCUUUGUAGCAAAAACAAACAAGGCUCGAGUAAACACGUCCAAAUAACACACGUCAGGACUCGACCUGUCACGUUCACGCCCUCACAGACAGUCGAAAAUUAUUUCUAACUGUCAGGACUGUGACAUGGCUUUAUUUCGCUUCUUCUACGCAAAGGAUGAUUCGAACGGGCGAGACGUGAACAUGUUAUCUUUGUUUUAGCCGGCUAUCAGCCAUGGACCUCAAUGAAGAAAAGAUGACAGCACGCAGACGAGACAGAAACUUCAAGGACCUCAACGAAGAUAAAAUGACAACACGCAGGCGAGGCGGAGACAAGGCAAAAUCACAAGGCAUUCCAUCACAUACUGUGCAUCCUGGAUCUGCUUUGCAUAAUAUAUGUGACCACUCCUUUUAGAGGCGGCCUCAGUGAUGUUGACUAUGGAACUCUGAAUAAAAAGAGGGACACGGGAGCUGAACAUUAGAGCGUAGGGCGAGACUGGGACUAAGUGUUCAGCGCCGUGCGUUCUCCUCAUGAGCUAAAUUGAA